GACGAACGCUGGCGGCGUGCCUAAUACAUGCAAGUCGAACGCAGUGGGGACGGGUGAGUAACACGUGGGUAACCUCCCAUAAGAGGGGAUAACACUUGGAAACAGGUGCUAAACCGAUACUGAUGGAUGGAGCCGGGGUGGAUUAGCUAGUUGGUGGGGUAACGGCUCACCAAGGCGACGAUGCAUAGCCGACCUGAGAGGAUGAUCAGCCACACUGGAACUGAGACACGGCCCAGACUCCUACGGGAGGCAGCAGUGGGGAAUCUUGGACAAUGGACGAAAGUCUGAUCGAGCAACGCCGCGUGAGUGAAGAAGGUUUUCGGAUCGUAAAGCUCUGUUGGUAGGGAGGCGGUAUCAACACAAUAAGCCACGGCUAACUACGUGCCAGCAGCCGCGGUAAUUC
rnacentral:rRNA from 1 species